rnacentral:tRNA from 1 species
UGGGGUGUGGCUCAGUGGCAGAGCGCCUGUCUGGCAUGUGUGGGGCACUGGGUUCGAUCCUCAGCACCACAU